rnacentral:rRNA from 1 species
AGCAGCCGCGGUAAUUCCAGCUCCAAUAGCGUAUAUUAAAGUUGUUGCAGUUAAAAAGCUCGUAGUUGAAUUUCGGGGUCAGUAGGUUGGUCGUGCCACCGGUACGUACUGGUCUCACUGAUUCCUCCUUCCUGAAGAACCGUAAUGCCAUUAAUUUGGUGUUGCGGGGAAACAGGACUGUUACUUUGAAAAAAUUAGAGUGUUUAAAGCAGGCUAACGCUUGAAUACAUUAGCAUGGAAUAAUGAAAUAGGACGAUCGAUCCUAUUUUGUUGGUUUCUAGGAUUGACGUAAUGAUUAAUAGGGAUAGUUGGGGGCAUUAGUAUUCAAUUGUCAGAGGUGAAAUUCUUGGAUUUAUUGAAGACUAACUACUGCGAAAGCAUUUGCCAAGGAUGUUUUCAUUAAUCAAGAACGAAAGUUAGGGGAUCGAAGACGAUCAGAUACCGUCGUAGCCUUAACCAUAAACUAUAGCCGACUAGGGAUCGGAUGAUGUUAAUUUUAUAAUG